rnacentral:lncRNA from 1 species
GGAAAUCUCCUCUCAAAGAUAACCUUACGAAAUUCAAUUUGGUACUUUCUACAGUUUUAUUGAGCCCCUGCCAAACACCAUUCUACCCUCUGCCUCUGAGACAGCAAGAUAGAGCUUAAGUAGCAACCAGCUCACUCACAGUGGGUGAGUCACAUCAGCAGCAUCAAGACAAGACAAGGCCAGUGAUACACUAACUGCUUCCCAUAAAGCUGUCAAGAGAAUGCAAUGAGUGAUCUCAGUCCAGGAGGAGCAGACCAGUGAAAAGGAAAUAACUGGCUGGAAGCCAAGCAACACGGACCCACAUCCAGAUCUGAUCUGUCACUAACUGAUUAUUCCAAACUGGACAUACUACUUUCCUUCUCUGGACCUCCGUUCCCUCUGCAUAAGGUCUCUGUUACCCUGUCUGUAACAUGGAGAGGAUAACCCCAGCUCAAAGGCCUCCCUCAGGUCUGCUGAGAGGAUCAAGUGGGAUAUCAUCUGAUAAAGUGAUUUGACUUUUACAAAGGACUGUCCAAAUAGAAGGUUGUGGUGUUAUCUCUGACAUCUGAAGCGAGGUCCUUGGAUGUUCCUGGAGUCAAACCUGACAACAAGGAAACUUUCAGCAUGACCGAGAAAAGGGUCUCCCUUAGCUCAGCUCCUGGGAGGGCCCCUGAAGGAGAUAUAAAAUGAAGAAGAAAAAAAAACCAUUAAAGCAAAAUUCCUGGGGCUGGGAGCAGCCAGGAGUCUGGCGCGUGUCUCCUCCUGGGUAAUUACCUGGCAUUUAGCACCCCUCUUCCCAGCACUUGUAAUUAGCAGGGAAAUUAAGAUGCUGUCAUCCUACCUCCCAGCUUCUUGCCACUACACCCAGAGGCCUGGGGAGGGGCUUAAUGAGAUGGGAAGGGGACCUGCACAGCUAGAAGAAGUGAAACUACACAUCGGAAAGGACUUUGCGCUGUUUACAGGGCCUUUUGACAAGAGGAGAGCAGUGGAGGGUCCUUUGGGGACCACUUCCUGCUGUCUCCAGCUGAAGCCAUCUCUUCCCCCCUGAAUUCCUGGAGCAUGUGCAAGCUGGGCCACACCCCUUCCCACGGGAUGCUACCCUAGCUUUGAUUAAAUGGCUGGGUUUCAGCAGGGUCUUAUUUCACUCACCAACAUCAUUACAGAUGUCUCUUGGGUGCCUGCCUCUGUGCUGGACCCUGAGGACAGAGAUGAGUCAGACCCACCUGGAAUUGCAGGUGUUCACCAGGCAAAAGAUAUGGCAUUUGAGUGGACAAAUGUAAUACAAGGUCAAAAGUGACAAGACCUAAGGGAGGCAGGGCCAGC